UGGGGAAUUUUGGACAAUGGGCGAAAGCCUGAUCCAGCAAUGCCGCGUGUGUGAAGAAGGCCUUCGGGUUGUAAAGCACUUUUGUCCGGAAAGAAAUCCUUGGCUCUAAUACAGUCGGGGGAUGACGGUACUGGAAGAAUAAGCACCGGCUAACUACGUGCCAGCAGCCGCGGUAAUACGUAGGGUGCAAGCGUUAAUCGGAAUUACUGGGCGUAAAGCGUGCGCAGGCGGUUUGCUAAGACCGAUGUGAAAUCCCCGGGCUCAACCUGGGAACUGCAUUGGUGACUGGCAGGCUAGAGUAUGGCAGAGGGGGGUAGAAUUCCACGUGUAGCAGUGAAAUGCGUAGAGAUGUGGAGGAAUACCGAUGGCGAAGGCAGCCCCCUGGGCCAAUACUGACGCUCAUGCACGAAAGCGUGGGGAGCAAACAGGAUUAGAUACCCUGGUAGUCCACGCCCUAAAACGAUGUCAACUAGUUGUUGGGGAUUCAUUUCCUUAGUAACGUAGCUAACGCGUGAAGUUGACCGCCUGGGGAGUACGGUCGCAAGAUUAAAACUCAAAGGAAUUGACGGGGUCAUAGCUGUUUCCU
rnacentral:rRNA from 1 species